AUGACACAGCUGUAUGAGAUGCGGCACAAAUGGGCAAAGCCUUACUUCAGAGGUGUGUUCUGUGCUAAAAUGACUAGUACUCAGCGGAGUGAAAGCGCAAACAAUAUGUUGAAGAACUAUAUACCACCGGGAUGCCCAAUGCAUUUGUUUGUGAGGAAAUACAUGGUCUUGCAGUUUGACAGGGAAGCGGAGGAAAAUUAUGAGGAGAAACGGACAAGAAAUGGGACGCCACUGUUUCGAGCAAACAUGGUUACAGAAAGGCAUGCUGGCAAGAAAUACACUAGAGCGAUGUUCGAGCAAUUUGGGCAUAUAAUACACGAAUGUGGUGCUUACCAGGUGGAAGAUAAUGAGAAAGGGAAAACAUAUGUUGCAAUACAUACCGAUGCAGCUCGGAGAGAGAAGUGGUGCAGAAUAUCAUAUAAGGUGACCGUGCUGGACGGUGGAGAGGAAUUUGACUGUGAAUGCGGCCAAUUCACUCACAUGGGCUGCUAUGCAGCCAUGUCCUGA
rnacentral:rRNA from 1 species